rnacentral:misc_RNA from 1 species
UAAUUUAACACCGUCGACGAUGAGUAGCCUGAGAUUGUUGACUUCUGUGUCUAGCGAAAAGGUCUAUUUCUUGACAUUAUUGUUAUUCCAGUUACGUUUCAACAGCGAGGAAGACACGUUGCUUGAUGGGUCACCACAGUACCAAGAAUUUCAAAGGCAACUUAAGCACUAUAUUUACUUAAGAAAGUAUUUUUAGGGAAAUUAGAGACAUAAAACAACAUAACAAAAGAGAAGAAAACCCUAAAAACAUACGAGGAUUUAGGUUAGAUUAGCCAAACUCGAGAGUAAUUAAAGGUCGCAGUGCUUGACAUGUUCAAGAAAGAGGAAAGCAACCAAAGGGUUUGAUCUUCAUUGUUUAAUUGACUUUCAGAUUAGUUGAAUUUGCGUUUAUUGCUUUUUAGUCGCAUUUGGAAAUCCAAAAAAUUUUGAAGCAAAACAAAAAUUUUGGAUUCUGGGAGGUCUAUGGGCUACGGCUAUAGGCUAAAAAGCUAUGGCCGUAAGGCCAUUUCCUAUCACUGUCUGGUCAUAGUUCCUAAGAAACUAUGAACAUUGUUUUCCUGCUAACGUCUGCUCCUUUCCCAACUAGUAAUUUCUGGUAACAUUUACAGAUCACAAAUAUUUAAUGAUGCAACAGCAAAAUGAGGAUGAGAAGUGAAAAUCUAGAUCAAAAUUUGUGAAGGCAAUAGGCAAUUUGCAUAAUAAAUACAUACCAGCAUCUAUUGGCUCCUCUCAGCUCUUAAAACGUUUGCACUCACACUCUUGCUGCAUAACAUCCAUUUUAAAGACAAGUUCUACAAACUGCAAAACAGAAUACAAUUACUUUAUCUUUAGCCGAGGCUGUGGAGACUGGGAACUUUAUGAACUUGAGCAGUUGAGCCUCCAUCCUUAUAUUGAAAUAAUAAUCCUAAAAUAAAAUUUUAUGUUUGAUGGGAUCCACCAACAUCCACCGAGUAUAAAUCCAAAGGUGGAAAACUCAUGCCUUUGAGCCUUUCCCUUUCCCUGUCAUAAAGAUGUGACCCCAAAAACAAUGAAUCACACAAUCAAAUUUGAUUUCCUUAAAUUACUCCACAGCCCAUUACAGAUGUAUAUCAUUUCUUUCCACCACCCGAUACAUUGAACUUGAAGAAUAUGACGUCUCCAUCUUGGACAACAUAGGUCUUCCCUUCUUGUCUAUACUUCCCAGCAGCCUUAACAGCUGACUCACUGCCAAGCUCCUUGAGAUCAUCAAAUUUCAUGACCUCAGCACAUAUAAACCCUCUCUCAAAGUCAGAAUGGAUUGUUCCUGCAGCCUGAGGGGCCUUUGUUUGUCUUCUGAUUUGCCAGCACUUCACCUCAUCAGGGCCAGCAGUGAAGAAAUAUAUGAGAUUAAUUGCAGAAAAUCCAGUCUUUAUGAUUUUUGGAAGGGCACUUUGUACCUUGUUCUCCUCACAAUACUUUGUCGCUUCAUCUGGUGCCAUAUCGGCAAGAUUUCUUUCUAACACACAGCUGAAAGGAAUAAUUGGUUCAGCCCCAUGUUCCUGCACCCAAGCAUGAAUCUUGGGCAAGAACUUGUUCUUUUUUCUCUGGUAAUCUUUCUCAUUCAUGUUAACCAGGUAAACAACAGGCUUGGCAGUAAGCAAUUGAAACGUAUUCAAUAUCUCGAUAUCAGCAGCUUUCCAGUCUCCUAGGCGAACAUCUUUACCAUCUUCAAGACAUGCGUUGACCUUUCAAUGAUUGAGGCACAAAGGUCUUCCACGCCCUUUGACACGACUCAUGGUCUAUUUUUAACUGCUUGUCAUUGCUCCGCUUCAUGCUCUUCUCAAGAUCCUCUACUCUUCUCUCCAUGAAUUCAAUAUCCUUUAGUCGUAACUCAUUACCAAUAACCUCUAGAUCUCUCACAGGAUUCACAAAGUCAUCAACAUGAAUAAUAUCUGGAUCUUCAAAUGCACGUAACACAUGAAAAAUGCCAUCAACUGCACGAAUGUGAGAUAAGAAAUUGUUGCCCAAGCCUUGCCCCUGAUGGGCACCUCUAACCAGUCCAGCUAUAUCAUGGAUUUCCAAGAAAGCUGAAACCUCGCUUUUUGGCUUAUACAGUUGGCAAAGCCAUUCGAAUCUUUCAUCAGGGAUAUAAACCCGUGCUUCAUUAGGCUCAAUGGUACAAAAGGGAAAAUUUUCAGCAGGAAUUGAUAGCUUUGUUAAUGUGUUGAAAAGAGUAGAUUUGCCAACAUUUGGUAAUCCAACGAUGCCAAUCUUGAGGUGAGAGGAGAAUCUUCCAAGGAUUGGUCGCUCAGCUGGUGCUUCUUUCGAUUUUGCUGAUUUUGGAGGCAUAUUUCUUAUCUGGACAUGUCGCAGAGAGUAAGCUGUAUCAGAACUCUACAGGUGUGCUUGAGAGUGUCAGAGUGAUGGAUAGUGACUCUCCGGCGACCUCGAUGAAAGUCCCAUCGAGAGGAAGGAAGAUGGGACUGAGAACGAGGGACGUAAAGUAAGAGAGAAAGUAAAAUGGAAACGAAACCUGAAAUCAGUGUCUCCGUGGUCGGGGACGACGAGGAUCUACACCGUCGACAGCAGCUGUGAAGUGGGUGAGCGAGAUAAAAU